CCGGCGCCGAUGGGCGGCCGUCCCCCCUCGCCGUCCCCUCAAGUCCGCGGCGGCAGCUGCGUCCAGAGCCCGGAGCCACAGCGGAACCGGAGCCGAGCGGGUGGCGGCGCCAUGGCGUGCGCGGGGCUGCUCACCGUGUGUCUGAUCCGGCCGCCGGCGACCGAGCCCCCGCGGCCCCCCGCGCCCGCCGCCGGGCUCGCCGGACACGCGCUCUUCCAAGAUGUUUUCCGCAGAGCAGACAAGAAUGAUGAUGGUAAGCUCUCAUUUGAAGAAUUCCAGAAUUACUUUGCUGAUGGGGUUCUCAGCCCCAGGGAGCUGCGGGAGCUGUUCAGCAGCAUUGAUGGGCAUCCCACUGACAAUUUGGAAACGGAGAAACUCUGCGACUACUUCUCAGAACACCUGGGUGUCUACCGGCCUGUGCUGGCUGCGCUGGAGUCGCUGAACUGUGCAGUGCUCGCUGCCAUGGACACCACCAAGCUGGAAUAUGAGCGGGCCUCCAAAGUGGACCAGUUUGUGACACGUUUCCUACUGCGGGAGACGGUGAGCCAGCUCCAAGCCCUGCAGAGCUCACUGGAGGGGGCGUCAGAUACCCUGGAGGCCCAGGCCCGUGGCCCAUGGUCAGAUGAAGAGAGGGCGGAGGUACAGAGCAGGCCCCGUGGCAGCCGGCGGGCAGGGCGCAGGGCCUUGCGGAGCGUUGGUCGGUCACCCACCUGGUCACCUGGUUUCUCUGACACAGGGCGGAGCUCAGAGGCCGAGAUGCAGUGGCGGCUCCAGAUCAAUCGUCUCCAGGAGCUCAUCGACCAACUCGAGUGCAAGGCCCCCCGGCUGGAACCCCUUCAUGAAGAGGAGCUUCCCAAGGGGCCCAAUUCGGUGAGUCUGGGAGAGGGGCAGGCCGCUGGUUGUGGGGCCAGGAGGAGGUCAAGAAGUGAGGAGGUUCCCGGGCUAGCCCCCGCCAUGGCCUCUGUCUUACACACACACCUCCUCCAGGCUUGGCCCAGCACAGGCAGGCACCUGCUCUGUGACCCUGCAGAAAUCUGUUCUUCCGUGAACAUCAGUGUCCCUCAUCUAAAAGUUCUAAAAGCUGGGUCUGGGACAGUGUGGAUGAAGGCUGACAGUGGCAGUAGGAAGUGGUAUCACUCUGCAGUGGCUGGAUUAAGACAGCUACUUGGCAAUGAGAAGAGGAGGAUGGAGUCAGGGACUUGGGCCGGGGUGAGGGGGUGGGUGGGCAGGAGCCCAACCUCUGGUCAACUGGGUCUGGUACAAGCCAAGAAGGCCCGGAUCCUCCUGGGGGCCACAGCAGUCCCUCGCCCUUUGCCCUGCCCUAUCCCAGCUGACUGGGCUGCCUCUCUUGCCAGCACAUCCUCGUGGCCCAGAGGCAGGUGCAGGUGGCAGAGGAAGCCCUGCAGGACUUCCACCAUGCCCUGUGCUGCUAUGUGGACUUCACAGGGGCCCAGAGCCAUUGCCUGCAGUGAGUCCUCAGCCGGGUAGUGGGCCGGCCAAGGUGGGAGUAGGGGGUGAGCAGGGAGGAAUGCUGGGGCUGGCUGUCCUGGGCUAGGGCUUUCGCUGGACAACCAUGGCUAGGUGGGCAGAGGUUGGCGGCAGCCCUGGCCUGGCCUGGCCAUCUCUUUGGCCCUGCAGUGUGUCUGCCCAGAAGACGCUGGACAAUGCCUCCUUCACGCUGUACGAGUUCUGGCAGGAUGAGGCCUCCUGGAGAAGGUAGGAGUGGUGGUCUCACAGCUAAUGUUUAUUGAGUAUGGGCCCUGGAGUGAGUCAAGCCUGGGUUCAAGUCAUUCUCUCCUACUCCCGGGAGUGUGACCUCAGGAGAGUUACCUAACCCCUCUGAGCUCUGGUGGCCUCCUUUUCAAAAUGGGAGUGGUAAUGGUUCCAUCUUCUUAUCAACUGAAUAAUAUGACAUGGAAAGAACCAAAUACAGUGCCAGGUACGAGGUAGGUGCUCAAUGAAUACACACUGUUACCACUGUGCCACUUCCUAUGUCACACACUUUCGGUGUCACUUACUGUAAUCUUCACAGUGUCCCAGUGAAGUAGACACUGUUGUUUCCAUUUCACAGAGGAGAAAACUGAGGCUCAGAGCCACCGUGAGGAAGGACUGAGGUCUGAAUCCAGGCAACAGGACUGGGUGGGAGGGGGAGCUCUUGUGGUCCACGUGCUCCUGAUCUUUGGGGACCAGCUCCAGCCUCAGUCCACCCCGUGGUCCUCCCCAGGCACCAGCAGUCUGCCUGUAGCAAGGCCUUCCAGCGCAUCCUCAUUGACCACCUGCGGGCUCCAGACACCCUCACCACUGUGUUCUUCCCAGCCUCCUGGUGGAUUAUGAAUAAUAACUGAGCCUGAUCUGCAUAAGCCAAGGACCCUGGAGCCCUGCCUGCCUCCCUCUGGAGCUUCUGGACUGGUCAACUCAACUCUAGACCAAGGACGCUGCGCCUCCUAUACCUGGGGCCUGGCUGGCAGAGGCCUCCCAGAGGCAGCUGGGGGAGAAUUUCUCAGCCCAGGGAUCAGAGAUGGCUGCUUGCUUUCUGUUUCUUUCUUUAACGGUGUAUUUUAUUGUUUGUAGCUUCAGCCUCUGAGGCACUCUGGCCUCCACCUGGCUCAGGAAGCCUGGAUUCUGGUCCCCUCUGUCCCUGCCUUGCCGUGUGACCCAGGGCAGGUCUCUUCCCUCUGAAUGGGCCUUGGGCCGAAUGGCUACCUAGUGGGUUCGUUUUCUUCUUGUUAUCUUGGGGUAGGCUCUUCCCCAAGCAGCAGGAGAACCAGGGCUGAUGCUCAGGGACUGUCCCCACCCCUGACCUUGAUCCCUGAGGCCUGGCUGGAUGUCUUCAGUGUGGGGUACAGACAGACCUGUGUGUCCCUGUCACCCUCCUGGGCUGGCAGGCUCCUGACUCUUCCAGUACCUACCUACAGCUGCACCAGAGACUUCUGGAGGAUCCUGGGUUGGUUUGCAUGUCAUUUGCAUAUUAUUUGCAUGCUCAUGCCCACCCAUACUCAGGGCACUAUGGGAAGCCCCCAGGUGACCUUGCUAAGUAGCAAUAAUUUGGGCCCAGAGUCACCUGCUGCCCCUGGAUACCUCUGAACCCCAGCCCAGGACCCCAGCCCAGAGGCAAUAAAGGCAGUGGUCACCUCUGG